UGCACAGGACCAUCGAUAUAUUGAAUAUUUGUGUCUUUGACUAUUAUUUUUGUUUUGUUUCAGAUUUUACUGGAUUCCAAAUAUAGACAGUCUUUAUAAAAACCUGAGAUUGUUUAACGAUUUUUUCGAGCACAUUAAAGAUUUGCCUCCUUUUAAAGGACCAGUGAUGUUUAUCUGCGGAAAUAAGUCAAAUUUUGUUGACCCGAAGAGUUGGCCGCAAAUUCAACAGAUGUUUCCUGAAGCGGAACUACAUUGGCUUGACGCAGGGCAUUUGGUUCAUUUCGAACAACCAGAAAAAUUCAUUAAUUUGGUUGUCCAUUUUUUAAAACGCUAAAUGAUGGUGUUUGAAUAUAUCAUAUAAUCAAGUAAAGUUUAUUGUUCGAGCUUUAAAA